rnacentral:rRNA from 1 species
GUGGGGAUGACGUCAAAUCAUCAUGCCCCUUAUGAUUUGGGCUACACACGUGCUACAAUGGACAAUACAAAGGGCAGCGAAACCGUGAGGUCAAGCAAAUCCCAUAAAGUUGUUCUCAGUUCGGAUUGUAGUCUGCAACUCGACUACAUGAAGCUGGAAUCGCUAGUAAUCGUAGAUCAUCAUGCUACGGUGAAUACGUUCCCGGGUCUUGUACACACCGCCCGUCACACCACGAGAGUUUGUAACACCCGAAGCCGGUGGAGUAACCUUUUAGGAGCUAGCCGUCGAAGGUGGGACAAAUGAUUGGGGUGAAGUCGUAACAAGGUAGCCGUAUCGGAAGGUGCGGCUGGAUCACCUCCUUU